CAGCUAAAAAAUAUCGAGAUAUGAAUUUUGGGUCAUAUCGCCCAGCCCUACUGUGAAUAUAAUUGGCAAGAAAUGAGUAAAAACACAGGUGGUGACGAUGGUGGGGGUGGUGUUGAUGAAUGAUGCAGGGUCAUCCUGUCUGGAGUCCGGCCCACAAUAACCCCUGUUUCUGACUGAAAGGCCCGACUCACAGGGCCACAGCCAAGCAGUCAGCUGUGCGCCGGGGAGCCGGUGAUGGAGCGAAGAAGGCCGUUUCUGUUACUGAUGCUUCCAGCAGCUCACCUGUAAAAUCCUCCCGCUGCCUUCUCAUCAGACACGUGUUAUUGGCUGAAGCCUGUUUCUGUCAUCGUGGCUCAGAGGCUCGCUGUAAAGCAGAGACAGCGAGAGCGUUGAGAAAGAAAAUGAACGAGGAAAGGUCAAGGAUCAGCUCGACCCCACAGCCUGCGCAGCGGCAUGAUGGUCCGAAGGCGACCCGGCCGUUUCCUUUUGUUUGUGCACAUGAAAUAAAAGUUCUCAUGCCGAGCACAAAUCUGUUUGACUCGUUGUUUUUUUGUUAAAGUCCUGAUCAGCUGAUCAGCCUGCUGCAGCUCUUAUCUUCACAGUCACAUUUUAUUUGCGUCUGCCACGCCCUCUUUAAAACCCACCGACGGCGGCGGCUGGCGAGCAGCUGUGUUAAUAAUUCUCACACCUUCAGACUUUCAGGUAGAAACGAUCAAACCUGAAUCAUAUCACAUGAAUCGAUGCUUGGCGUGUUUUUUCCUGCCUGCUCCAGAAAACUGUUGUUUCUCUUUGUGCUUCAAUGAGUCUUUUAUCCAUUUUGGUCUGUGAGCGUCAUAGCAGCUGCUGGUUUAUCGUUAUUUUUCUCGUGAAUAGUCAGUUUUGUCGGUCAGGUAUCUUUGCUCGUGUGUUUGUUGCAGUCGACAGCUUCGAGAAGAUAAUUGCUCGUUUAGCGGGAGGUUGCAUUUUUAGGUCUCCGUGUGGAAAAACGGCCAAAUGCUGCCCAGAAAUAUCAGAGCGUAGCCCACAAACGUUCAGAGUACUACACACCCGUGAGCAUGAGCGGCAGCCUCAUAUCCUGCAGUCCUGUCGGGCCCUAAACGCGUCGUGCGGCGGUAAGACUACAGUCCGCGGGGAGCGAGGAGGCGUGCAGCAGAUGGUCAGAGCGCUGCAUUUACAGACACACACACAUUACCAAACCUUCUUACUUUCACCGAGUGCCGCAGCUGCUCGUACAAAGUGUGUGCACAGCACUGAGGCAUAUCACUCCAUCAUAGCGGCGCACCCUGAACUUUGACCUUCUAAGUGUAGCCGGAGCAGAGGAAUGUGGGACAGACUGAUUGGAAAAACAGGCAGGAAAAUACGAGCGCGUGAAGCCGGACUGAAGAGACAGCCCGACAGGCGUUUCUGGACUCGACCUCAGCGUUCUGUUUGCUGCCAUGUUUUCAGGCGCCAGAAGCGACCUUGUUUGGAUGACCGGGUGGCGUGCUAAGUUAGCACAGAUACCUGCCAAUUAGUGCUGAGCAACUUCCAAAUGAAAUGCUUGAUUUUCCCUCAGGUUCUUGGACGCUCUGUUAGUGCAGCUGACCUCGCAAGCUGACCUCGCAGCAGCUGGGAAUGAGCAGGACGGCAUUUUGCUUAAAAAACGAGUGAAAUCAAAGAAGUGACGUCUGAGUUUGUGUGUGCAGUUCUCAGUCACCCAGGUCACGGUAGCAUGAAGAGCGUGGAAAAGAAGCCAACUGGGCUUUAAGUUUGAAGUUACUAUUUUUAAGGCGGUGAGGAACAAACGUGGGAAAUAAUCCGACCCCGGCCUGAAAACAUCUGGAUCAUCGCUGAAACUAAAUGAAAACAAUAAAAACAGUCAAACCAAAGUCUAAAGGCGUGACUUGCUGUGUAAAACAGGAUGUGGGGUGGGGGUAGUUUGGAAAGGAGCCACAUAUCUCGACCCCCACCCUUCCACCAAUCCACCCCCAGCAUGCCCGACAUUCUGCCUCGCGCUUGUGCGGCGGGCAGAAAUAGACAGCGGUGGGACGGAAACUCGAGCUGAAGUGCGAGGACUUGGGCGGAGCAGCCGUGUUUUCCCUGCCUGUGAGCUACGAGCUGAACAGCAGCUAUGAUGGAGCUGCAGAUCAAGUGUGUGAUGAAGAAUCCAGUUAUCCUGAAGUCACAGCGUGGUAUAAAACGUGGUAUAAAAAGAUUUCUUCUUCUUGUGCAGCUUUCCAGCUGACCCGUCCUCUUACAGCUCCCCCGUCGGGUCCCGGCAUUCCCCUGAAAUAUGAGAGCAGCUGUGUGGGUCAGCCUCUCCUGACACCCACCAUGACACCACAAACCACACCCGGCUUCCUUAAAUAUCGCGAUACCUGCCGUGCUUCCUUUGUGUGUGGUGACGCGGUCACAGCAGUCUGGCACAUCUGGUCUGCUCAGUCCUCUUAAAGGCGCUCACAUCUGCUUUUACACAUUCUAAUAAACUGGAACAUGCCCGUGUGGCAGUGCUUG